UUCUUCGGAUGAAGAUCUUGGUGACUGAGUGGCGGACGGGUGAGUAACGCGUGGGUAACCUGCCUCAUACAGGGGGAUAACAGUUAGAAAUGACUGCUAAUACCGCAUAAGCGCACAGUACCGCAUGGUACAGUGUGAAAAACUCCGGUGGUAUAAGAUGGACCCGCGUUGGAUUAGCUAGUUGGCAGGGCAGCGGCCUACCAAGGCGACGAUCCAUAGCCGACCUGAGAGGGUGACCGGCCACAUUGGGACUGAGACACGGCCCAAACUCC
rnacentral:rRNA from 1 species